rnacentral:rRNA from 1 species
GACGAACGCUGGCGGCGUGCCUAAUACAUGCAAGUAGAACGCUGAAGGAGGAGCUUGCUUCUCUGGAUGAGUUGCGAACGGGUGAGUAACGCGUAGGUAACCUGCCUGGUAGCGGGGGAUAACUAUUGGAAACGAUAGCUAAUACCGCAUAAUAGCAGUUAUUGCAUGAUAACUGUUUGAAAGGUGCAAUUGCACCACUACCAGAUGGACCUGCGUUGUAUUAGCUAGUUGGUGGGGUAACGGCUCACCAAGGCGACGAUACAUAGCCGACCUGAGAGGGUGAUCGGCCACACUGGGACUGAGACACGGCCCAGACUCCUACGGGAGGCAGCAGUAGGGAAUCUUCGGCAAUGGACGGAAGUCUGACCGAGCAACGCCGCGUGAGUGAAGAAGGUUUUCGGAUCGUAAAGCUCUGUUGUAAGAGAAGAACGAGUGUGAGAGUGGAAAGUUCAC